AACGAACGCUGGCGGCAUGCCUAACACAUGCAAGUCGAACGAGACCUUCGGGUCUAGUGGCGCACGGGUGCGUAACGCCUGGGAACCUGCCCUUAGGUUCGGAAUAACUCCCCGAAAGGGGUGCUAAUCCCGGAUAAUGUCUUCGGACCAAAGAUUUAUCGCCUUUGGAUGGGCUCGGGUUGGAUUAGCUAGUUGGUAGGGUAAAAGCCUACCAAGGCGACGAUCCAUAGCUGGUCUGAGAGGAUGAUCAGCCACACUGGGCCUGAGACACGGCCCAGACUCCUACGGGAGGCAGCAGUGGGGAAUAUUGGACAAUGGGCGAAAGCCUGAUCCAGCAAUGCCGCGUGAGUGAUGAAGGCCUUAGGGUUGUAAAGCUCUUUUACCCGGGAUGAUAAUGACAGUACCGGGAGAAUAAGCUCCGGCUAACUCCGUG
rnacentral:rRNA from 1 species